rnacentral:rRNA from 1 species
UACGUAGGGUCCAAGCAUUAAUCGGAAUUAUUGGGCGUAAAGGGCGCGUAGGCGGAAAUAUAAGUCAGGUGUGAAAUACCAAAGCUCAACUUUGGUGCUGCAUUUGAAACUGUAUAUCUAGAGGACUGACGGAGAAAGCGGAAUUCCACGUGUAGCGGUGAAAUGCGUAGAUACGUGGAGGAACACCGGUGGCGAAAGCAGCUUUCUAGUUUUUACCUGACGCUGAGGCGCGAGAGCAAGGGGAGCAAACAGG